GGGGGAAGAGAAGGGAGAAGAGCCAGGCGUGUAGUCAUGGCGAUUGAAGGGGGAGUAGUCACGGGGGAUGGGAACAGCCUUUUGAAUUGUCUACUUACUACCUAAGGGUCAGGUUAAGUGUCUUCUGCGCACGCGCGACGUAAUGCUGUAACCCACCUUGAGCCGUGAGGAGAGGCAGGCAAGAAAUAAAACUAUGAUUAUUAUUAUUA